rnacentral:rRNA from 1 species
UGGGGAAUAUUGCACAAUGGGCGCAAGCCUGAUGCAGCCAUGCCGCGUGUAUGAAGAAGGCCUUCGGGUUGUAAAGUACUUUCAGCGGGGAGGAAGGGAGUAAAGUUAAUACCUUUGCCCAUUGACGUUACCCGCAGAAGAAGCACCGGCUAACUCCGUGCCAGCAGCCGCGGUAAUACGGAGGGUGCAAGCGUUAAUCGGAAUUACUGGGCGUAAAGCGCACGCAGGCGGUUUGUUAAGUCAGAUGUGAAAUCCCCGGGCUCAACCUGGGAACUGCAUCUGAUACUGGCAAGCUUGAGUCUCGUAGAGGGGGGUAGAAUUCCAGGUGUAGCGGUGAAAUGCGUAGAGAUCUGGAGGAAUACCGGUGGCGAAGGCGGCCCCCUGGACAAAGACUGACGCUCAGGUGCGAAAGCGUGGGGAGCAAACAGG